rnacentral:tRNA from 1 species
GAGGGUACAGCUAAGUUGUAGAGUGUGUGCUUAGCAUGCAUGAGGUCCUCGGUUCAACUCCCAGUACCUCCA